AAGUUUGUCCGAAGGGAGUUGCCGUACAUUGUCGUUCGAUAGCUGCAGUUCGGCCUGCAUACGCUGAGCUACACGCCUUCAGUUGAACAAAUAAUAGAUAAAUAACCCUAACCACAACUUGAUUCUUGAAUAACAGCUAAACGCACUUUAGCUUCGAUGCAGGACGCUCAUCAUUACUUUAUUGGACAAUAACAUCAUGAUCUCAACCUUCUGGCCCGAACUUAGCUUACCUAGCCUAGCUUGCUAGCCGUGCUGUCGCUAAGCAGAGAUCAAGUGUGAGCGUAAAGUGUGGUAAAUUUACCUACAAAUGUACUCAAGAAGAAGAGAAGAGUACGAGGAGCAAUUAUAUGGGCCAGAAGAGGAGAGUGACGCUGUUUUCAAGAAGCCUCGAGUUGGCUUACGCGGAGCAGUCAUCAGCAAAGAUGUGCUGACCGGCUGGAUGCAGACCCCUAUCGGUUUAAAGAGGAAGAGUAAAAAAAAGGGGUCUCCUAAUUUAAAAAGGAAGCGGAGCAGCAGGCCCCUUCCAUGAAAAAAGAGGAGGAGCAAGAGCACCCUUGCACUAAAAUGGAGGUGGAUGAGCACUCCAACAUAAAAGAGGAGGAGGAGGACGACGCUAGUUUCGAGAAGUUUCGAGUUGGCUCGACCAGAGCAGAUAUCAGCAAAGAAGCUUCUCCUGAGCGGCUGGAUGCAAAACCCCCUCAUAUUAAACAGGAAGAGGAGAGCAGAGAAGUCUCCUGCUUUAAAGAGGGAGAAGAGCAGCAGGCCCCAUACAUUAAAAGAGAGGAGGAGCCAGAGCACCCUUGCCCGAAGCAGAGUCACAACACAUCAUCAAACGUUGAUGAUGAUGAGUAUGAAGAGUCUGAUGGUGAUCAGACAUGUCACACUGACAACAAACCAUGGAAAUGUUCUCAGUGUGGGAAGACGUUUCCUUAUGAGAGUCCUUUCAAAAGACACAUGAGAACCCACACUGGCGAGAAACCAUUCACCUGUUCAGACUGUGGCCAAAGAUUCUCUCAGAGGGGAAACUUAAAAGUACACUCAAGAACUCACAAUGGUGAGAAACCUUUUGACUGCUUAGUUUGUGGCCAAAGAUUUUCUGUGAAGCAUCACUUAAAAUUACACUCAAGAACGCAUACUGGUGAGAAACCUUUUGCCUGCUCAGUUUGUGGCCAAAGAUUCUCUGAGAAGGGACACUUAAAAAGCCACACAAGAACACACACAGGUGAGAAACCUUUUGCCUGCUCAGUUUGUGGCCGAAGAUUCUCUGAGAAGGGACACUUAAAAAGCCACACAAGAACACACACUGGUGAGAAACCUUUUGCCUGCUUAGUUUGUGGCCAAAGAUUCUCUCGGAAGCCUCACUUAGAAUUACACUCAAGAACCCACACUGGUGAGAAAGAUUUUUCCUGUUCGGAGUGUGGGCAAAAAUUUUCUUGUAAGGGAAAUUUGGUAUGUCACAAAAGAACCCACACCGGUGAGAAACCCUUUUUGUGCUCAGUUUGUGGCCAAAGAUUCUCUCAGAGGGGAAACUUAAAAGUACACUCAAGAACCCACACCGGUGAGAAACCUUUUGCCUGCUCACAUUGUGACCAUAGGUUCUCUCAGAAGGAAAGCUUAAAAAAGCACAUCAGAACUCACACUGGUGAGAAACCUUUUGCCUGCUCAGAUUGUGGCCAAAGAUUCUCUCAGAAGCAACUCUUAAAAACACACUCAACAACCCACACUGGUGAGAAAUCUUCUGCCUGUUCAGAUUCUGGCCAAAGCUUCGCUCAGAAAAGAAACUUUAAAAUACACAUCAGAAAUCACACUGGUGAGAAACCUUUUGCAUGCCCUGACUGUGACCGGACAUUCUUUUUUAAGGGACAUUUAAGAAGACAUCAAAACAUCCACGCUGGCGAGAAACCCUUUUCGUGCUCACUUUGUGGCCAAAGAUUUUCGUGGAAGUCUCAGAUGAAAAAUCACAAGUGUGUUGAUCAGAUGAACAAUUCUCAAUGACGUUUUCACAUCUAAUGUUAGCAGGCUUCAUAAAUUCAUGCACCAAGGCGAAAUGUAUUUGAUAUGCUUUUUUUCCACACUGAAAAGUUUUUUUGAUUUUUUUUGGUAGUCAUUAAUUACAAAAUCGUUGUUAUCGGUGUUAUAAUAGUAUUCCUGGUUGACAGAACAGUCACACAGCCUGGAUUGAUAACAAGAACGCCUAUGACUCAAUGUCACACACAUGGAUCACUGAAUGCUUGAAGUUGUAUAAGGUGAACAGGACCCUCAGAUGCUUUGUUGCGAACUCAAUGAGGUUUUGGAAAACCACACUUGAAGCCAAUGACAAGCCACUUACCCAAGUUUCCAUCAAAUGUGGCAUCUACCACUGCUGUUCUGCAAAGGACUUCCCUCAAAGCCAAGUUGGACUGAACCUCCUAAACCAACUAAUCCACAACAUUAGUUGGCUUAGGGUACAAGGUACCGCCUCAGAAAUGGAGCUACGAUCAGUCAUACAUGGGUGACGUAGAGCUGUAAGCUAAUAGCCAAAGGACAUAGACUCCCUGAUCCACACAACCAAAGUCUACAGCAGUGACAUCGGGAUCUCAAUCUCGGUACAUCACAAGCCAAAGGCAACCUCGAACUGGCAAAAAGGAAAGUGGCUACGGCCAAAUACCUCCAGCGGGUGAGGCAGGUCCUAAAAAACCAGCUCAAUGGCAAGAACAAGACCGGGGCAAUAAACAGCUAUGUCCUACCAGUGAUCAGAUACCCUGCAGGAAUAAUAAGGUGGCCAAAGGAAGAGAUUCAGACCACUGAUGUUAAGACCCGAAAGCUCCUAACCAGGCAUGGAGUGUUCCAUCCCAAAUCCAGCAACCUGAAACUGUACGCAAGCCAUAAGGAAGGGGGCUGGGGACUUGUGAGUGUGAGAGCCACUGUCCAGGAUGAAACAUCCAAGCUCCUUCUAUACAUCAAAGAGAAGGCUUCAACGGAUUACAUACUCAGAGAAUGUCUCCGACAAUGGAGAACAGAGGAUUAUGUGUUGGAAGAGGGACCAUCAUGGGAGGACAAUCCCCUACACGGGAUGUACCACCGCACCAUAACUGAAGUGACUGAUCUCAAGAAGUCCUAUCAGUGGCUCGAGAGGGCUGGCUUUAAGGACAGCACAGAAGCACUCAUCCUGGCUGCUCAGUAGCAGGCCCUGAGCAUCAGUGCCAUAGAGGCCCAGAUUUAUUUUGUGCAUGCAACACUUUGUUUUUUUCUUUUCUACCCCCCCCCCCCCACCCACCCCUAGUUUUGCUGCUGUAGACUGCAAAUUUCCCCAGUGUCGGAAAAAUAAACGUUAUCUUACCUUAUAUACCACACCAGACAAGACCCAAGUUGUAGGUUGUGCAAAGAGGCACCUGGGAUGAUCCAACACAUAACUGCAGGGUGUAAGAUGCUGAUAGGAAAGGUGAAAUGGAACGCCAUAACCAGGUGUCUGGCAUAGUCUACUGAAUCAUCUGUGCGGAGGAUGGACUGGAAACCCCAAAGUCAAAAUCGGAAACACCUCCAAAGGUGGAGGAGAAUGACUGAGUGAAGAUCCUGUGGGACUUGCAGAUACAGACUGACAAGAUAAUGGCGAACCAACCAGAUAUCGUGGAUGGGACUGCUCCCGUGUAGGGAUCCUUCGUGAUCAGGAUUGUUCGCCCUUCGGUUAGCCAUCCUGGGAGAGUCUCAUCCUUCAGCAACUGGUUCAUUUGAGAUGGUAGGCACUCAUGAAGUGCUCUGAGUUUCUUGAGCCGGUCGUGGACCUUGACCUUGUCAGCCUGGUGCUGUCCAGUUCUAAGACUCUUUCCUCUAUGUCUGUGAGAGAGGAACACAGCAACCUCCUUGAACAGAACCCAGUUACCAUAAGCGUGUCAGACAUUCAGGUUAGUUUUGUCAAAUAAGGCAGAACUGAGAAAUGCUCAGAUAAUGUUUGGUUCUGUUAGGGGUGGUGCGGUGGUUGAGGGGAUUCGGGGGGAGGGCAUAACAAAGCAUUUAUGCUUUGCGCAACAAAAUGGAGAGCGCUGGCCACACACACACACACGCACACACACACACACACAGCUGGGAAAGCAUGCGACUGAGGACAGAAGGGUCCUUGGUUUGCUUGUGGGUUUCAGUGUGAAACACACGAACGUGUGUUUCCUCUACACAAGUCCUUUGUCUAUUGAUGUUGAUCAUUUUUUCCAGACGAGUCAUAUGAUGGACUGGCAACCAGUCAAUUUUUUGUCCCCGCGUCUGGUGAGUGGACCUGAGAAUGACGAAGUCUGUUCGUGCUGCGGUGCCAUGUUGUGACAGCAGCACUGGUACAUGUCUGUUUGCUUGUCCAGCAUUUCCAGAACCUUCUGCUGCAGGAGCUCCAUCUGCUAGAGGGGGUGCUCUCGCAGUUUCCGGUGAAGAACCUCAGGGGGGCGUGGCCUCCACCUGCGUGCUGACACGCCAGCGCUGAAGAGGGUAGCCAUCACCCACUUGAAGGCACGAACACAGCAGCUAAGAGAAUCAUGUUGUGGAUCAGCUUGUCCGCGUAAGAAUGGGAGGAUCCUUCAUCGAUCUCUUCGUCUUCUUUGUCCACUUCCUCUCCAUCUUCCUCCAUGUUAAACUGGCGUAUCUUACCCAGCUCAUCCAGAGGAGGCGCUGCAAGCUCAGCUUCCAUGUAAGAGUUACAGGAUUGGCUGACCAUCUCCUCGGGGAUCUGUGAGAGGAACAUCGUGUGAACUCGUAACUGUGUCUUUUGACUGACUGUGGACCAUCCUCAGCCCACCCAUCAACAGACAGAAAUAGCUCAGGUAGGAGAGUUGUCACACUCAAGCUGUUAAGGUCUGUGGUUGUGUUUUGGCAUGUAAGGCACAGACAUUAUUUUGUUUUUGUGAUGACUGCACGACGAUGUGUCUUGACUCACUGUUGUCAUUUUACCGAUACCUUACCAUUAAUUGACUGGUGAAAAGGCCCACGUCCAACCAGCAACAGACUAAAAUAGCUCAGUUGGUAGAGCGUUCGACUGAAAAUCUAAAGGUCCCUUGUUCAACCCCGGGUUUUGGCAUGUAAGGCACAGAAUUCAUUUCUUUGUUGCGAUUGCUGUACUAUGCUGUGUCCUUUGACUUGCUGUUGUUAUUUUGGGCGAUAACAUCCCAUUAAUUGACUGGUGAAAACGGCCUAGUUAAUGCCAGAAGAGACUGAUAAAGAUCAGUUGGGAGAGCGUUAGACUAAAGAUCUCAAGGUCAGUGUUGCAACCCUGAAUUUUGGCAUGUAAGACACAGAAAUUGUUUCUUUCAUGCAAUUACUGAACUACGUUGUGUCCUUUGACUUGCUGUCAUCUUGGCCGAUACGAUCCCAUUAACUCAUUUACACCCUUUGAUGUAUAAAUAUGUCAAUUAGCGCAUAGCCGCUCCCUCCCCAUGACGAGAAAAUACGUCAAUCACGUUUUUCAUGGGGGAGGGUUCAAGAGUCUGAUGCAACUUCUCACUGAAUGAUCAUGCUUGACGGCAAUGUUAAAUAGCAAAAAAAUGGCCAUCAGGUGGCAGUGGUGCAAAAGUCCACCAGGAUUACACCGCAGAAGCAGAAAGGGCGUAUAGUGGAGGAGGGGUGUAUGUGGAUAGUGGAUUGCAACAUUAGUGUCAGGUUGGUCCAAUUUGACACUCAGGAAUGAAACACAAGGAGGAGACAGGAGACUCAAUUCUGGUACCAGGAGGGAACGAGGAGAAGCGUUCAGUUUCAGUUCUCGGCACGUCACCCUAACGAUCUCCCCCUUCACCUCCUCAUUUAUUGGGAAAGCUACUCCAUAGGUGUGUCCAACCUAAAGGGCGGGGGCUGUUGAACACACACUGAACUUGUGAAUUGGGAACUUCUCCAUUGUGAGACUAAUAAAGGUUUUUCUCUCUCUCUCUCUCUCUCUAAAUUACGUACAUGUGUUCAAUUGUUACAAAAACAUCACGUUGCAGCUGGUGUUGAUGGCUCCAUUCACUGUCCAACCUUGCUCACUGUUCAGUCUUAACACUUAUCUCUUCCCAACCACAUCCGCGGAAAGGUUGUUGCAUCCCUAAACUUCCACACAGUGCACUAAGCAUUCUUGAGUCUAAAAGGAUUUAUAAAUGUGAGUACAUAAUAAAGAAUAUAUCUUUAUCAAAAGCAGAAGCGUUCUUCAUUUCAGGCAUACAUAAUCAAUAAAUCAAUCUAAUAAGCGAAUGUAUGAUGACUAAAAAUAAUCAAUCCAUCAAUUAGCAACUAGCAACAAUGGAGAAAAGGAAACAACGAACACUUGAGGAUUGUUUUUUUUUUCGGUAUAAAAGCGUCCUCAAAACAAAACAACUAAGGAGAUGGUGUUUGUGUAGAAGAGAAGAUGACGCUUUGGUCACGUAAUCGAAAGCAGCACCUCUCAAACGAACGUCAACCUGCGCAAAUAUCGCGUGCUACACUCAGCCCUCAUACCUCACGCCCAGUUUCGAGGUCAUCUGAUGGAGAUGAACAUGCUCAACGUCAGGGCAUGGCAGAUGCCCUUGGCAGAUCGCUUGGCAGAGCAUUUUGUGCCUCCCGUGGCGCACAUCGCCCACAAAUUGUCUCCCUGGCGACUUCCAGUGAGGACGGCAAAGAGGCUGCAUUGCUUCGCAUGGCCGACACCGGGCACACGUCAGCGAUUCACUGUAAUCGUCUCGUAAUGACAACGGUGAAGACGAUGAAUUGGAUUUGGAUCCCGAUACGUCGAACGAAUACGUGUCUUCGGACAUAACGGAAAGCAGCUGAGAGUUCUCGCCAGAGCCGCUGGAACGAGGAGGUAACUGCUGACUAGCUUGCAAGUUCCCAUUCAAAACUUCAUCACUUCUUAUGCCUCAUCAGUCACUUUUAUGCACUGCUACAUUCCCCGCUAUACCUGUACUAUAAAGUUGCCAUUAAAACUAAUCAUUUAUGUACGGUUGAUGCGUCUCAUAGAUGUGGAUGAAAAUAUGCGCCAUAAAUGUGGUGACUUGCGUGUCGCCAUAGGUUUUUAAAAAAACUAAUCAAAACAAUAAAAAAACAGGACACAUUUGGUCCGCUCAGCUCUGCUAAAACCACUCGUGUUAAAUUCAUAUUCCAUUCAUUUCCCGAACCGCUUGAUCUUCACGAGGGUCACGGGGGGUGCUGGAGCCUAUCCCAGCUGUCUUCGGGCAGUAGGCGGAGGACACCCUGAAUCGGUUGCCAGCCAAUCGCAGGGCACACAGAGACGAACAACCAUCCAUGCUCACAUUCACACCUAGGGACAAUUUGGAGUGUUCAAUCAGCCUGCCACGCACGUUUUUGGAAUGUGGGAGGAAACCCACGCAGGCCCGGGGAGAACAUGCAAACUCCACACAGGGAGGCCAGACCUGGACUUGAACCCCCUGCACUGUGAAGUCGACGUGCGAACCACUGGAGUACCGGGCCGCCGAAUUCAUAUUCCAUUUCAUUUCAAAUUGGAUGCUGAGCAACGUGGAAUGAAUGGUGUAAAUAGUAGUGUGCGAGCAUGUAUGUGUGUGUGAGAGAUGUUGAAAUGUACAGUAAGUGGAAAGCAACAAUAAAAAAUAGAAAAAUAAAA